AUUGAACGCUGGCGGCAGGCUUAACACAUGCAAGUCGAGCGGAGAGAGGUAGCUUGCUACUGAUCUUAGCGGCGGACGGGUGAGUAAUACUUAGGAAUCUGGCUAUUAGUGGGGGACAACAUUUCGAAAGGGAUGCUAAUACCGCAUACGUCCUACGGGAGAAAGCAGGGGAUCUUCGGACCUUGCGCUAAUAGAUGAGCCUAAGUCGGAUUAGCUAGUUGGUGGGGUAAAGGCCUACCAAGGCGACGAUCUGUAGCGGGUCUGAGAGGAUGAUCCGCCACACUGGGACUGAGACACGGCCCAGACUCCUACGGGAGGCAGCAGUGGGGAAUAUUGGACAAUGGGGGGAACCCUGAUCCAGCCAUGCCGCGUGUGUGAAGAAGGCCUUAUGGUUGUAAAGCACUUUAAGCGAGGAGGAGGGUACUGGUAUUA
rnacentral:rRNA from 1 species